rnacentral:tRNA from 1 species
UUAUACUUUUUUUAGAA